rnacentral:lncRNA from 1 species
UGCAACAGCCCUUGUCUCCCUCCGCCCUUGGUUCCUUCUCACCCAUCUCACCACCAUCUGCCCAGGGGAGCCACAUGUCCCAAAUUUUGGAGAGAAAAUAAUUGAGGCUCAUUUCCAGGACAGAGGGGCAAGCUGGGUCUAAAGAGCCAAGCAGAAAGGCUUCCCAAAAUCGCUAGGUUGGGAGGGGUCAGAGACGUGUGGCUGCCCCAGCUGUUCUGACUCUGCCCCAGCUUUUGGCUCCACCCCCUUAAAGCACCUUCAGAGGUUCCCAUGGCGACAGUAAACAAGUCUCCACUGCCUUGGCCAUGUGCUGUGUUCACCCCACUCCUGAUCUUGUUGGCUGCUCAGGGGCUGACAGCCCAGAUGUGCAGCUGUGAUGAGCAGAAACAGGGAGGAAUGGAGCCCCCAGCCAUUGUCAUCACUUCCUCAAGCUGUCUAAAUUCUGCCCAGCAGUCUGUGAAAAUGUUGUGCUGAUGACAUAUUAAGUCAUGUAUCCGUUAAAAGAAUAUCUGGAAACCUCCAAAAGGAAGCCAAGCAUAGACUAUUUGGAAGAACUUGAAGGAGCGAGAGCUGACCCCAUCUUUGUACACUGGCAGCACAAGGACAACAAUCAACACGGAAGACUUCUGUGACCAAAUGUGUGCACGUUUCUCUCCAUACACCAAGCAAGCAAUCUAUUCUGCAGCAGACACCAACUGGAAGUCCUCCAAUUCAAUUCAAUUCUGACACUGUCUACCUGGAAAUGGCCUCAGCAACCACAGGUUGAGAGCUCAGUCCCACAAGAACACCUCCUCCUUCCAACCAGUUGAAACUCCACACCUCCAGAACUUCUCACUGACUGGCUUCGAGUUGAGGUUUCCACAGUCCUCUGUUUGAGUUUGAUUAAUUUGCUAGAGAAGUUCACAGAACACAAGGAAACACUUACUUAUGUUGAUCAAUUUAUCACAAAGGAUGUUUUAAAGGAUCCAAAUGGGGGCCAGGCACAGUGGCUCAUGCCUGUAAUCCCAGCACUUUGGGAGGCUGAGGCAGGCGGAUCAUGA